rnacentral:rRNA from 1 species
UACGAAGGGUGCGAGCGUUAUUCGGAUUUAUUGGGCGUAAAGGGUGCGCAGACGGUAUGCUAAGUCAACUGUUAAAUUUCCCGGCCUAACUGGGAGUAAGCGGUAGAUACUGGCGUUCUAGAGGAUGGAAGAGAGAAGUGGAAUUCUCGGAGUAGCGGUAAAAUGCGUAGAUCUCGAGAGGAACACCGAUGGCGAAGGCAGCUUCUUGGUCCAUUCCUGACGUUCAUGCACGAAAGCGUGGGGAGCAAACAGG